rnacentral:rRNA from 1 species
CACGUAGGAGGCGAGCGUUGUCCGGAAUCAUUGGGCGUAAAGAGCGCGCAGGCGGCCCGGCAAGUCGGGUGUGAAAUCCCGGGGCUCAACCCCGGGACUGCAUUCGAUACUGCCGGGCUAGAGGUAGGUAGGGGAGAUCGGAAUUCCUGGUGUAGCGGUGAAAUGACGCAGAUAUCAGGAGGAACACCGGUGGCGAAGGCGGCUUGCUGGGCCAGUUCUGACGCUGAGGAGCGAAAGCGUGGGGAGCGAACAGG